rnacentral:rRNA from 1 species
GACGAACGCUGGCGGCGUGCCUAAUACAUGCAAGUAGAACGCUGAAGAGAGGAGCUUGCUCUUCUUGAAUGAGUUGCGAACGGGUGAGUAACGCGUAGGUAACCUGCCUUGUAGCGGGGGAUAACUAUUGGAAACGAUAGCUAAUACCGCAUAACAAUGGGUGACACAUGUCAUUUAUUUGAAAGGGGCAAUUGCUCCACUACAAGAUGGACCUGCGUUGUAUUAGCUAGUAGGUGAGGUAACGGCUCACCUAGGCGACGAUACAUAGCCGACCUGAGAGGGUGAUCGGCCACACUGGGACUGAGACACGGCCCAGACUCCUACGGGAGGCAGCAGUAGGGAAUCUUCGGCAAUGGGGGCAACCCUGACCGAGCAACGCCGCGUGAGUGAAGAAGGUUUUCGGAUCGUAAAGCUCUGUUGUAAGUCAAGAACGAGUGUGAGAGUGGAAAGUUCACACUGUGACG